AUCAAAUUCAUCCAAUGAGAGUUCCACAGAUAAGACUGAAUUGAGCAGCAGGAAGGAAGAACAAAGUUCAAAUGAUGCACAAUAGUUACUAGGUGUAAAUAUAGUGAAGUUCAAAUCAAGGAAGAAGCUGAGGAUUUGCGGUUACUCAAUCCAUUCAAUGAAACAUCAAUUAAGUUUACAAAUUCCACUUGCUGCAUUUACAUUUC